rnacentral:rRNA from 1 species
GUCGAACGGAAAGGCCCUUCGGGGUACUCGAGUGGCGAACGGGUGAGUAACACGUGGGUGAUCUGCCCUGCACUCUGGGAUAAGCCUGGGAAACUGGGUCUAAUACCGGAUAGGACCACACACUUCAUGGUGAGUGGUGCAAAGCUUUUGCGGUGUGGGAUGAGCCCGCGGCCUAUCAGCUUGUUGGUGGGGUAAUGGCCCACCAAGGCGACGACGGGUAGCCGGCCUGAGAGGGUGACCGGCCACACUGGGACUGAGAUACGGCCCAGACUCCUACGGGAGGCAGCAGUGGGGAAUAUUGCACAAUGGGCGCAAGCCUGAUGCAGCGACGCCGCGUGAGGGAUGACGGCCUUCGGGUUGUAAACCUCUUUCAGUAGGGACGAAGCGAAAGUGACGGUACCUACAGAAGAAGGACCG